CCUUUCCUGCCAAGAGAUGCUGGAGGGCCGAAGAUGAAUCAAGUCAGUGAAAGUUCCACGGUCAAGGUGGAUGUGUGGUGGAGAGGCUGUGGCUGACUAACCACGCAACGCUGCCAGCUCUGCUCAGUAAAUAUUUUAGGCUUUGAGGACUUUCCAGCCUCGCUCUGCUGCCUCAGGCAAGCUCCAAACAGGCAGGCGUGGCUGGGCCCAGAGUGGACCUGACAGGACUUGGUAUGGCUUUACCCAACCAUUUGAAGCUGCUGAAACACUUCUGAGCUCGCAGGCCACCCGGCAGUGGGGAAGCAGGCUCCUUCGGCCAUGGGUUACGGCUUCCCAACCCCUAAUCUCAGACUACAGACUGUCAAAGUGGGUAGACUGUGCCUUUCCCUCGGCUGUGACAAAAUGCCCACAGACGCAAUUUAGGGCAGGGCUUGUUUUGUUCCCAAUUUAAGGGUGUGGUCUAUCAGGGCCAGAGUGUGAGGCAGCUGGCUAUGCAGUGUCUGUCAGGCAGAAAGCAGUGAGAGAGAGAUGAACCUGGGGCUCAGCUCUCUUUCCCUGUUUCCUUCAUUCCUAGACACACACCCCCCAUGGCGCCUCCCGACCACAUACUAGUGGAGCACUUCUCUCUCCAGGAACUUUUCUGAAAACGCCUUCUGACCCUCACCCUCACCCAAAGGUGCAUUUCUAUGCGGUUAUCAAUCUAAGUGACAAGAGCCAGACAUGGUGGCUCACACCUGUAAUCCCAGCUUUCAGAGGGCUGAACCAGGAAGUUGUCAUGGGUUAGAGGUCAUCUGGGCUAUAUAGUGAGUACCAGGGCAGCUUGGGCUACAGAAUGUGAACCUAUUAAUAAAUAAGUAAAUAGUUUUGAAAGCCAGGCUUGAUGGUGUACACCACACCUUAAAUCCAAGAACUCAAGAAGAAAGGCAGGUGGAUCUCUGUGGGUUCCAGGUCAGCCAGGGCCACAUGGUGAGACCCAGUCUCAAAACAAGAGGAAACAGUUCUGAGGCUAGGAGAGGGAACGCUCCAUCCAUCAGCUGGUUUGCACCUGGCAUAGCUGGUUUACACCUGGCACAGCUGGUUUGCCCCUGACACAGCUGGUUUGCACCUGUUUUACAGCCUAGCUGUGUUGAGGUUACGGUUACCUACCUCCAACACCCGGGGAGAGCCCUCAGUAGUUCAUCUCUGUUCCUAGCUGGAGUCAACCACUGUUGCCCAGCACUGUCUCCUGAACCAAACAACUGCCAUCUUGGGACAUUCAGCUGUGUCCCCUUACAAACAAACAAACAAACAAGCCUCCCAGCUGUGCUAUGUUUGUUGAUGGACCUCGUCGCUGCAGGGUAAAGACUUUCCAGGUAUUGCCUGUUGGAGAGGAGUACCACGCUCCUGUAAGUAGCUCCUUACCUGUGAUCUUUAAUGAAGCGCAAUAAACUCACUGGCUCGGUCAGCU
ensembl:processed_transcript Gm12992 predicted gene 12992